AUGCAAAGGUGAACAAAGACUUAAAUCCAGAAUGUCAAGCUGGAUUCCGCUCAGGCUAUUCAACUGUUGAUAAUGUUUUUACCUUACAGGCUUUAAUUCAAAAA